GGCUACUCGACGCAGUGGAAGCGUGCAGGGUUCAUACUUGCUGAUACCCUGAAAUCCCUGGAUCGAAACCGGGAGUUGCUA